GACGGAGGGUGCCAGCGUUGCUCGGAAUGAUUGGGCAUAAAGGGUCGGUAGGUGGUUUCAUCAGUCUUAGGUGAAAGCCUUGAACUUAAUUCAAGAAUGGCCUAAGAAACAAUGAGACUAGAGGUCAGGAGAGGGUCGUGGAAUUCCCGGUGGAGCGGUGAAAUGCGUAGAUAUCAGGAGGAACACCGGUGGCGAAGGCGCCUAUCUGGCCCGAUACUGACGCUGAGGCGCGAAAGCUAGGGGAGCAAACGGG
rnacentral:rRNA from 1 species